AGUGCCCAAGUGUUGUAUAACAGAGUGGCUGUAGUGCCCAAGUGUUGUAUAACAGAAUGGCUGUAGUAGGCUAUACGAAACUUUAUUU